AUUGAACGCUGGCGGCAGGCCUAACACAUGCAAGUCGAGCGAACCUAGCUUGCUAGGUGAGCGGCGAACGGGUGAGUAACACGUAGGAAUCUGCCCGAUAGUGGGGGACAACGUUUCGAAAGGGACGCUAAUACCGCAUACGCCCUACGGGGGAAAGCAGGGGAUCUUCGGACCUUGCGCUAUCGGAUGAGCCUGCGUCGGAUUAGCUAGUUGGGGGGUGAAAGGCCCACCAAGGCGACGAUCCGUAGCUGGUCUGAGAGGAUGAUCAGCCACACCGGAACUGAGACACGGUCCGGACUCCUACGGGAGGCAGCAGUGGGGAAUAUUGGACAAUGGGGGCAACCCUGAUCCAGCCAUGCCGCGUGUGUGAAGAAGGCCCUCGGGUUGUAAAGCACUUUAAGAGGGGAGGAAGGUUCGUUGGCUAAUACCCAGCGGAAUUGACGUUACCCUCAGAAUAAGCACCGGCUAACUCCGUGCCAGCCGCCGCUGUAAAAC
rnacentral:rRNA from 1 species